AUGGGGCGACGGCGGCCGUCAGGCGCCGUUAGACGGCGUCGCACAAAACCUAACGACCCGAUCCAGAGCAUCCUGUUCCCCCUGUCCUCCCCCGAUUCCCCCCCUCCCCCCAUGGCGACCGGCGGCGGCGGCGGUGACGACAGGGACGACCCCCACCUCUCCAUCCUCGAUUCCGCGGGCCUCUCCGCCAUUCGUAGCUCGCCGACGGUGCUCCCUGCUCCUGCUGGCCCUGUUCGAUCCGCCAUUGUCGGCGUCGAUGAGCGCGGCGAGGAGGUCAGCAGAUUCAAAGCGAGCUCCGACGACCUUGAGUCCAGGGCGGCGGCCAAUCUGGCCCAGGUGUGGAAGGCCAAUCCAGGGCAUAGCCAUCAGUACACAUCCGGCCUUGGUGGCGUGGAUUUGGAUGAAGAUGAACCUUGGGAUCUCAGGUUCCAUUUUCAAGGUUGUGACAACCUGGAAAGGACCAUAUGUGAAUCUGAUAUCACAUACAUCAAUAUGUUAGCUAUUAUUGGGAUUGAGGGGUAUGAUCAGAAGGACUCAAUGUAUUAUGUGAAGCAACAUGGUGUGGGAAUGGCAGGCAUGAAGCAAAUCAAAUCUGAGGAAGAUGUUGAAGAAAUGCUAAUAUUAUAUGAGGACAAGAGGUGUGUCAAUGUCACAGUGAUGAAAGGAAGAGAGUCUGACAUGGAAAUGAACAUUGGAGAUGGAUGUGAGCAGCAGAUUCCAAUUUCUGAGAUUGGUUCUCCUAAGGUAUAUAGUGUAGAUGAUGCAGGUGUGAUAUAUCAAACUCAGACCUGUGAACCACAGCCAGAAGAUUCUUAUGGUGAAUAUCUUUUCACACAGGAGAGUUGCAAUGUUAGAAGUGGGAAGGUCACAGCAGGUAUCAAAGUAUUAGAUGACUUUCUUAAUGAGUUUGCUGACAUACCAGUAGUGCAUGAAGAAGAUUACAUGAAAGAGGACAAGGAGGAAGAGGUGCAAGAGGAAGAGGAGGAAGGAAAUGAACAACAAGAAGAUGAGCUAGAGGAAGAGGAAGAUGAAGAUGAUGCAAACUUAUAUCAGAAAAUAAAAGACUUGAAGAGGAAGAGGGUUUUUGAAGGUGAUUGUGAGCCAGAAGACUUAUUCUGUGAGAAUGAGGAGGAGGAGGAUGGAGAGGGGUUUGUUCAGGCACCACCUAUGCAGAAAUUGCCUGUUAGAAGAGGUCCAACAGAUAGAGCACAUUGCAGUUCACAAGCUGAACUUGAGGGAGACUACAUUCCUGUAUCUGAUGAAGAUAUGGAUGAACUUUAUGUUGAUUCAGGUGCUGAAGUAGUGGUGCAUUGUCCCACAUCUGGAAGAAAGUCCAGGGCAAAAAAGAGGAAGUCCAGGAUAUGGUAUGAUGAGAAUAGACUUGUGCCAGAACAACAAAUAUGUUGGCAUAUGUGUUUUGUUGAUGUUUACCAAUUCAGAAGAGCACUAGUUAACUUGCAUGUGACACAAAGGAGGAACUUCCAUUACCAUAGGAACAACAAAGACAGGAUCAUAGUUGAUUGUCUUGAGGAAGGCUGCCCCUUUCACAUGGUUGCAUCUGUGGUUGCAAAUGAGAAAACAUUCAGCAUUAGGAAGCUGCAACUAGAGCAUACUUGUGCUCCAAGUGAUGGGAAUUGCAAGGUUCCUGCUAGGUAUGUGGCCAAAGCUGUUGAAGACUGCUUCAUGACUGACCCCAGAGCAGGUAUUGAGACUGUCAUAGACAAGACAAAGGAGAAGUAUGGUGUGGAGGUUGGAAAGAUGAAGGCUUAUAGGGCAAGGCAGCAAGCUUUGAAUGUUGUGCAGGGUGACCAGGAAGCACAAUAUACUAGAAUUACAGACUAUCUGCAAGCUGUUUUGGACACAAAUCCUGGGAGCGGAUGCAUUGUGACAACUAGGGUGGUGAAAGAGCAUCCAAGCAAGAAUCCAAGAUUUCAUAGACUUUUCAUUUGUCUAGCAGCUCAAAGGGAGGGUUUUCUCAAUGGAUGUAGACCUUUCAUUGGUCUAGAUGGUUGUUUUGUGAAGUUAAACACAGGUCAACAGAUCUUGGCAGCUACUGGCAGAGAUGGAAACAAUAAUAUAUUUCCUUUGGCCUUUGGAGUAGUUGAGAAGGAGGACACCCCUACUUGGUGCUGGUUUUUAACUCAGCUCAAGAUUGUUCUUGGUGGUGAAUCAGGACAAUUUGGCAAUUACACAAUAAUUUCAGACAGGCAGAAGGGUCUGCUUAAUGCCAUUGACCAAAUAUUUCCUAACUGCCCUCAAAGAUAUUGUUUAAGGCAUAUUUAUGCAAAUUUCCAAAGUGCUGGAUUUAGAGGAGAUGAGCUUAAACAAUAUAUGGAUGCAGCAGCUUAUUCUUACACUAGGAAUGGGUUUGAAGAAGCAAUGGAAGAAAUUAGAAAGGAAAGUGAGGAUGCUUGGGUCUGGCUUAAGAAAAUUCCUGUAGAAACAUGGGCUAGAUAUGCUAUGGACACCAACUGUAAAACUGAUCUAGUAGUGAACAACAUUAGUGAGGUGUUCAACAGGAUGAUUUUGGAUAUCAGGGGCAAACCCAUUAAAACAAUGGUUGAAGGGGCUAGGUCCAAAUUGAUGGUGAAGUUCAAUGAAAAAAGAAGUGGGGGGCAGAGUGCUAGAUGGACAAUAACCCCAACAUAUACAGAAAUGCUAGAGGAGUCCAAAGAAUGGGCUAGGAAUUGCAAGGCUUUGAUGGCUGGGCCAGAUCUAUAUCAAGUAAAUAGUGGUGAGAAAUCAUAUGCAGUUGACUUGAAGAAGUGGACAUGUGGCUGCAGAAAAUGGGACAUGAGAGGUGUACCAUGUAACCAUGCUGUCUCUGCCAUCUACAAAUCAAACCAGCAGCCUGAAGAUUUUGUACACCAGUUCUUCAAGAAGCCUAUGUACUUAGAAACUUACAAGCCAAUGAUUUACCCUGUUCCUGGACCUGACCUAUGGAGAAAACAGAUUCAAGAGACAUAG
rnacentral:rRNA from 1 species